CCCUGGGUUGUCCUGUGGCGCCCGCCGAGGGUAGGGGCGCUUCCGCAGCCGGCCGGCCGGGCUGACUAGAGGGGCGUGUGUGGCGAAUGAGGGGGCCCACGGUCGGGGACUGGCGGCGACAGGCUGCUAGACGCCUAGCAGAAAAUGGCAAUGUGCCAGAUUGGAGCUGCUCCUUCAGCCUGGAUCUUAGGAUGAAGAAAAUGUGGAAGAGUUAUAACCAGCAUGGAGGCUGAUCCUAGGGCAACGGGGACUUAUAGGAGGAGGCAGUCCCAUCUCCUGUUCAUAUGAGACGACAUAUAACACGAGCAAGAAAGCAACGUUUGCUACUGUAGCCACUGAGAGUUUGAGGUUGUUUGUCAUAGGGUAGCCCAGAGAGAGCUGACUGUUGCAGCCUCCAUAAGCAGUCUGUUUCCUUGACUCCACACACUAUGCUCCUUUCCCAGGGCUCUGUACAGAGCAUAUGCUGUCCACAGCUUUUCUAGUCCUCACAGAAUUAGAGCCACUUAACUCACUAUCAAUUUAGUCCCAAAAGAUGUGCUCAGAACUUGCUGGCUCUGCCCAAGUUCUCCAGGGUGUGGCCACAGGAAAUCUAGAAACCUGUUGAUUUUCUAUUAGUACAUACAACAGAAUGAUCAUACAAGCUGGCCCUUAAUAGCAAAUAGUUGGUGCACUAAUUAAACAUAGCAGUGCGCUGAAAUAGGGUCCAGCCCCAGGGCGAAAUCCUCAGAAGACUGAUCCAAAGACCCCCAUCUCAUGAAGAACCUGUUUUCUUCAUGCCCAAUUUUUAUAGUUCUCACUACCUGCCAACCUUUCCUAUUCGCCCUUCUGACUCUGACCCAGUCUUUAAGACAUGCCUCUCAUGAAUCCUACUUUUCAGGAUACCUGCAUAGAUGGUGGGAAAGUGCCCAGGGACGACGUAAAACAGCAGUGUGGUGCCAGGAGCCUGGUUAAACCCCAAGGCAACUGUCUCCAGAGUGCUCUAGCACUAGGCUGCACCAAGGAGGCAAGGAGACGUUCAGAAGUUUCCAGAGGCAAAUUAGGAUCAGAAGCCAAGGGAAAUGGAAUUGGGCAUCAGAAAAGCAACACUGGCAUGAAGCUGUAGACAGCAGGCAGAAUCAUUGGAUGGAAAAGGAUAAAAGAAUGGUGAGAGGAAGUGCAGAGUGGGUGAGGUUCAGCAGUUGUGACACCACAACUGCAAACACGGGGCUUGAGGCAGAACAUUUCUUUGUGUAGAGGCUGGAGGGUGUGGCAGCUCCUCCUUCAAGGAUCUUCCCUAACUUCUUUGGUUCUCACAGAAAACCUAGGCCACUGGGCCAAGCCCUCCAGGUCAGCCCUGGUGCAUGAGCAAGGGUUCUAAGGUCAUGCCAGGGAGGGCACCUGUUAGGUGUCAGUCAGAGCAAGGGCAGCGGGGAAGGAGGCGAGAAGUCACAAGCUAGGAGUGGCAAGGGGGGUCGGGGCUGGCGGAGCAGAGAAUCCAAGGGCAAAAGCAGGAAGGAGUAUGGGAAUUGGGGAGAUAAGAGAGGGGCUGGCUGUUCAGACAGCAGGCAAAGUGGAACAAGGUGUGGGUGCAAACUGGGGUCAGGAACAACCCAGAAAAUGGAUUCUGACAGCUAUUUGACUUUUAAACAUUGGUUUGGGGUAAUUCUGUUGGGUGAGAACUUAAAGUGCCAAGCUCUGAUACCCACCUCUGCUACUCUGAACCAUUCACUGUAAGAUAUAAUCAUAUAUUGUUUUGUGUUUCCCCUGCUAUUUUACAUGUGUUUCUUUUGACUCUCCCAACUGAGACCUAGACUCUGUCUUGUGUUUCUUCAGUCUCUCCCACUGUCUUGUGCAGUGAUGAGCUGAUGGUUAUUAAUUUAUGAAUUAAUACCUACCAUCAGUCCUUUUUAUUAUUUGUUCUCCUGGCCAUUGUCACACACGCAUGCAUUCAACAAAAUUUUAUUUUUAUACAUUAUAAAUAAUAACAAUAUUUACUGAGUACUUAUUAACUGUGAGUCAAGCAUCAUGCUGGGUGCUGAAACACAUAUAUCGAUAAAGCAUACUCCUGGUCCUUGAAGAACUCACAGGCUGGUGAGGAGAGACAGACAUGCAAGAAGAAAGAGUGUGCUCUCUAUGGUGUAUGAAGGGUGGCUUCAUAGAAGAGAAGAGAUUUUUUUGGGUCCCAAAGGAUACAUAGGAGUUCACCCGGUGGAUAGGACGGGGCAAGUCCCACAGGCAGAGGGAAUGGUAUGAGCACAGGCAUAGAGCUUGAUUCUUCGGCUCCAUUCUAUCCUGUAGACAUAGGACACCCUGUCCUAGGGCCCUUCUACACCUAAAUUCCAUGAGUCCUUGGUUAAGGAUAAAUGUACAACUUCUGUUUAUACUGUGCACAAAGUGAGAGCCUUGGCUUUAUUCUUUUGCCUCACUGACAAACAUGCAAGUAAAGCCAGUUGCUUUUUUGAUGGGGCUUUGUUGAAUUUUUAAUCUCUCAUCAAAAGUCUAAACAUGAGGUUCUUUGCCUUUUUCCUUGUGAGCACUAGACUUGAGUGGCAACUUGAAAGAAUUACUCUUCUCAUCUUGUCUGCUUUUGAUUAGUGAAUUGAAGUACUAUACAUCAUGAAUAAAUACUUCACAUUCA